rnacentral:piRNA from 1 species
UCAUUUUUAAUCCUAAGUGGUAUCCUACCU